GGCUCAGGAUGAACGCUAGCUACAGGCUUAACACAUGCAAGUCGAGGGGAAACGAUAUUGGAAGCUUGCUUCCGAUAGGCGUCGACCGGCGCACGGGUGAGUAACACGUAUCCAACCUGCCGUCUACUCUUGGACAGCCUUCUGAAAGGAAGAUUAAUACAAGAUGGCAUCAUGAGUCCGCAUGUUCACAUGAUUAAAGGUAUUCCGGUAGACGAUGGGGAUGCGUUCCAUUAGAUAGUAGGCGGGGUAACGGCCACCUAGUCUUCGAUGGAUAGGGGUUCUGAGAGGAAGGUCCCCCACAUUGGAACUGAGACACGGUCCAAACUCCUACGGGAGGCAGCAGUGAGGAAUAUUGGUCAAUGGACGAGAGUCUGAACCAGCCAAGUAGCGUGAAGGAUGAAGGUCCUACGGAUUGUAAACUUCUUUUAUAAGGGAAUAAACCCUCCCACGUGUGGGAGCUUGUAUGUACCUUAUGAAUAAGCAUCGGCUAACUCCGUG
rnacentral:rRNA from 1 species